GUACGCGAGCUGGGUUUAGAACGUCGUGAGACAGUUCGGUCCCUAUCUGCCGUGGGCGCUGGAGAACUGAGGGGGGCUGCUCCUAGUACGAGAGGACCGGAGUGGACGCAUCACUGGUGUUCGGGUUGUCAUGCCAAUGGCACUGCCCGGUAGCUAAAUGCGGAAGAGAUAAGUGCUGAAAGCAUCUAAGCACGAAACUUGCCCCGAGAUGAGUUCUCCCUGAGACUUAAAGUCUCCUGAAGGAACGUUGAAGACGACGACGUUGAUAGGCCGGGUGUGUAAGCGCAGCGAUGCGUUGAGCUAACCGGUACUAAUGAACCGUGAGGCUUAACCUUACAACGCCGAAG
rnacentral:rRNA from 1 species